rnacentral:misc_RNA from 1 species
AAAAAUUGCACAAGACCCUUCAUUUUCCCCUCUUUCAAUCCCUUCACCAUCAAAUUUUUCUUCAUCAAAUCUUGAACUACAACAACAUGGUUGUAUGCUUCUACUAUGACCUUUAGACUCAUUUUUCUCAAAAUAUUGUGAACCAAGUGAUUUUGGGCUAAAAAGAACAAGUUUACAAAUAAAGUUUGGAUUUUUAUGACCCCAUUUGUUUGAUUUUGGAGAUGAAUUGAGAAAAGAAAGGGUGGA